rnacentral:rRNA from 1 species
GAUGAACGCUAGCGGCAGGCUUAAUACAUGCAAGUCGAGGGGCAGCAUGAGUGUAGCAAUACAUUUGAUGGCGACCGGCAAACGGGUGCGGAACACGUACACAACCUUCCUAUAAGUGGGGAAUAGCCCAGAGAAAUUUGGAUUAAUACCCCAUAAGAUAAUGAGAUGGCAUCAUCUUAUUAUUAAAGCUUCGGCGCUAGAAGAUGGGUGUGCGGCUGAUUAGGUAGUUGGCGGGGUAACGGCCCACCAAGCCUACGAUCAGUAGCUGAUGUGAGAGCAUGAUCAGCCACACGGGCACUGAGACACGGGCCCGACUCCUACGGGAGGCAGCAGUAAGGAAUAUUGGACAAUGGACGCAAGUCUGAUCCAGCCAUGCCGCGUGAAGGAUUAAGGUCCUCUGGAUUGUAAACUUCUUUUAUUUGGGACGAAAAAAGAUCAUUCUUGAUCACUUGACGGUACCAGAUGAAUAAGCACCGGCUAACUCCGUGCCAGCCGCCGCCGUAAGAC